rnacentral:rRNA from 1 species
UGGCUCAGGAUGAACGCUGGCGGUCUGCUUAACACAUGCAAGUCGAACGCAACCUUCGGGUUGAGUGGCGGACGGGUGAGUAACGCGUGAGAAUCUGCCUUGGGGUCGGGGACAACCACUGGAAACGGUGGCUAAUACCGGAUAAGCCUUUGGGUAAAAAAUUUAUUGCCCCAAGAGGAGCUCGCGUCUGAUUAGCUAGUUGGUGAGGUAAAAGCUCACCAAGGCAGCGAUCAGUAGCUGGUCUGAGAGGACGAUCAGCCACACUGGGACUGAGACACGGCCCAGACUCCUACGGGAGGCAGCAGUGGGGAAUUUUCCGCAAUGGGCGAAAGCCUGACGGAGCAAGACCGCGUGAGGGAGGAAGGCUCUUGGGUUGUAAACCUCUUUUCUCAGGGAAGAAGCUCUGACGGUACCUGAGGAAUCAGCCUCGGCUAACUCCGUGCCAGCAGCCGCGGUAAUACGGAGGAGGCAAGCGUUAUCCGGAAUUAUUGGGCGUAAAGCGUCCGCAGGUGGCGAUUCAAGUCUGCUGUCAAAGCACGGGGCUUAACUCCGUUAAGGCAGUGGAAACUGAAUAGCUAGAGUGCCGUAGGGGUAGAGGGAAUUCCCGGUGUAGCGGUGAAAUGCGUAGAGAUCGGGAAGAACAUCGGUGGCGAAAGCGCUCUACUGGACGGCAACUGACACUCAGGGACGAAAGCUAGGGGAGCGAAUGGGAUUAGAUACCCCAGUAGUCCUAGCUGUAAACGAUGGAUACUAGGUGUAGCUUGUAUCGACCCGAGCUGUGCCGAAGCUAACGCGUUAAGUAUCCCGCCUGGGGAGUACGCACGCAAGUGUGAAACUCAAAGGAAUUGACGGUGGCCCGCACAAGCGGUGGAGUAUGUGGUCUACUUCGAUGCAACGCGAAGAACCUUACCAGGGCUUGACAUGUCCGGAAU